CACCUCCCCCUUCCCUGUUUGGCUCCGCCUCAUUCUCUCCCCCCAGUUCUCCGCCUAUCUCCUCCACUCUCCGCCUUCCACCCUCUUCCUCUCUCUGUCUCACUCACUCUCUGUCGCUGCCGCCUGAACUGAAGCGAACUCCGCAAGAGGUAGAAGCGGGUUGAAGGAGCACACGGCACUGGUAGGACUGGAGGGAAAACGGCUUUAUUGUGCCCGGUCUGUACGUAGCUACAUAUUCGCAGUCACUCAUCAAGGUUUGCUGUACAAACGGGAACCCCAGGCAGCCUGAGGCGGAGCGGAGAAGCAAAGGAGGAGGCGGCCGGGACCCGAGUAACCAGACUAGCCAAGCGCUCUCUCUCCGUCGCAUCUCAGACCUUUAGGGGAGAUCAGCGACAAAGUACGAGCGACAGGAUCCAGAGGGAAAGGCUUUCUCAUUUAUUUUUAUUUGUCUUUUAUUCUUUCCCCCGUCUCCUGUGUCCUCGCAGCCUCUUUUCCGGAGCCAGAGACUUUGCGGUAUAUUAGUCUUUCCUUCGCUGCGAAAGCGAUUCCCACGGACGAUCUCCGACCGAAAACAACCCUUUAACCCGAUUCCAGCGCUCGCUCGUUUCCCCUCUACCUUUCUUCAUGUUUUUUGGACACGCAGGGUGCGACAUAAGGAACAGUGCAGCUCCUGCAUUUGGCCUCUUUGAUUGGAAUAUGGUUGGGGAAAUGGAAACAAAGGAGAAGCCGAAGCCGACUCCAGACUAUCUAAUGCAACUAAUGAACGACAAGAAGCUGAUGAGCAGCCUGCCCAACUUCUGCGGGAUAUUUACCCACCUAGAGAGACUCUUGGAUGAAGAAAUCAGCAGAGUACGGAAAGAUAUGUACAACGAUACUAUGAAUAGUAGCAGCAAUGAAAAAAGAACCUCUGAACUUCCCGAUGGUAUUGGACCUAUUGUACAAUUGCAAGAAAAACUUUAUGUGCCUGUAAAAGAAUAUCCAGAUUUUAAUUUUGUUGGACGUAUUCUGGGACCCAGAGGACUCACCGCUAAACAACUCGAAGCAGAAACAGGGUGUAAAAUUAUGGUCCGAGGCAAGGGCUCCAUGAGGGACAAAAAGAAGGCUGUUACCAAUAUACUGGAAUGCAGUAUGUUGGCACUAAAUAAGGAGGAACAAAACAGAGGCAAGCCUAACUGGGAGCACCUGAAUGAAGAUCUGCAUGUACUGAUAACAGUUGAAGAUGCACAAAACAGAGCAGAACUUAAGUUAAAAAGAGCAGUGGAAGAGGUCAAGAAACUGUUAGUCCCAGCAGCAGAAGGAGAAGACAGCCUCAAAAAAAUGCAGUUGAUGGAACUGGCUAUCCUUAAUGGCACCUACAGGGAUGCCAACUUAAAAUCACCAGCCCUUGCCUUUUCUCUUGCAGCAACAGGUCAGGCCCCCCGGAUUAUAACUGGGCCUGCUCCUGUUCUGUCCCCAGCUGCUCUGCGUACACCUACGCCAGCUGGACAUACCUUAAUGCCUUUGAUCAGACAAAUACAGACCGCUGUUAUGCCGAAUGGGACCCCUCAUCCGACUGCUACACUUAUGCAACAAGCACCUGAAGGUGGUUUGAUCUACACACCUUAUGAGUACCCUUAUACACUGGCCCCAGCUACUUCAAUCCUUGAGUAUCCCAUUGAAGCAAGUGGAGUAUUAGGUAUGGCUUUCCCCACGAAAGGCUAAGAAUUCAAGAAAGUCUUAAUUGAACACUCACCUGAACUGAAUUUUAACAUUUACCUAGUUUCUGCAGCCUUGACAAACAAAAUAUCUAAGCCCGUUAUCUAGCAGUCAGUGGCUUACUUGCACUUUUUUUUUAUUUGCACAUAGAUCAAAUAAAACCUUUAUGUGGACCCUUAUUUGAUUUAGCCUCUACCCUAAGAGUAGAAUUCCCAAAUAAGUGUAAAGUGGAAUACUGACUGCUAUGUUUCCUUUACUGAUUGCUUUACUAAUCACUUAAUUCAUGUGGUCCUUAAUGAUUGAAUUUAAGGGUUUUUUUAAACCAUGUUUAAGAUACAAAUGUACGCUUUGUUUAAAAAUUAAAAACAAGAUUCUUAUAAAAUAAUCAGUAUUAAAAAUGGCAUUAAACAUAAAACGGUUGCCAAUGAAGCACUUCAAUGGAUAUGUGAAUAGUAAAGCUUAAUUGGGGUCUGGCGAAUUUCAAGAACUCUUAUUGUUCAGUUGCAAAUGAAUGGAUAAUGCUAGCCUUCAGUAACAUGGGUGUCUGCAGACUAUAGUUCGGGAGAUGUCAUCCAGACUGAAGGGGCGGAACAGGUUAAGGCCAGAGAUGUGAGAUUAAAUGAACAGUUAACCUACACAUUUAUUCCAUGAAGCAAAGUUUUAAGCUACUGUGCCUUAACUUGUUGCUUUCUUAAAGAAUUUUGUAGCAAACCAUGAUGUUAAAUCCAUUUUGAUGAAACCUGCUGUUAAUUAUGUGUCAAUGUGUUUUUUAAUGAUUGUUGUUUUCUAACUUUGUCUUGGUAAUUGCAAUUUAAAUAGGUGCGGUGGCUACUAAAGUAAGAAGGCAUGAUAUGCGGGUCCAUCCUUACCAAAGGAUUGUGACCGCAGACAGAGCCGCCACCGGCAACUAACCUAUGACCUUCUGACCUCUGAAUUCUUCACCCAAUGAUGACCUGACCAUGCCUGCCUGCUGAUCAGUUAACUGGUAAUCGCCUCUGCUUGUCUGUCUUUAGUGCAGCGAGCUGAGACACUUUUCCGUUCGUCUUACCAUCUAACAAAAAAGACACAAAUUUUUUUCUUCCAACUCAGAUUUAUCCCAUCCCCCCCCCCCAAGCCCCCUGUUUGGGUGAAAGUGAUUCUAGUACCUGCACUGAAUAGUAGUAAAGCAAUAAGGUCCAAUUGAGCCCUGCGCACUGAUCAUCUUGUGUCCUAACCAAGCGAACGGUAUAAAGGCCUCACCUACAGUACUGGCGAGACAGCUGAUCCUCAACUACCGAUGACAGAGGCAGUUACUGUGAGAGACUUCUAGGAAACCUUUUUCCCCCCCUCUCUCUCGUAUAGUAAAUUUUAAAGCUAUCUCUGAAUGUACUGUGUUGUAAUGAUGCAUUAUGCAUGAACCUGUUUGGUCAGGGAUCUUACUGGUGAAGUCAUUAUGAAAAAAGAAAGAACAAACUAAAUUAUAUACUGUUUAGUCACUACAGUGCCCUCUUUGGGCAAAAUAUUGCAAUUUAAUUUUUUUAAAAUUUUAAAUGUGAUCAUAUCGGCCAAAUUUGUUACUGAUAAGGGUGCCAUGAACAAUUGCCGACUGGUAUUUUUUAACCUGCUCUUUCAAAUCUGAUUGCAGCUAUGAAAUCUCCUUUCAGUGGUUUCAGUCCAAAUUCUAAAAGCUUUUGACUUAAAGCCUCAUGUUUGAAUAUGUUGAACAAGGUACAUGCAUUAUGUAUCACUUUACUGGGCAAACUGUUCAAAUAUUUUAGACCUCCCUGUAUAGAAACAUACAUUAAGGAUGUAAAAGCCAUGCUUGCCUAUUUGCUGUAUAAUUGUAAUGAAAUUGUAGAUAAGUGUAGUGCAUUGAAACAAAAUGUUCUAAAACGUAGAUACUUUUACUAUACAAGGGUGCUGGUGCAGAAAAAGUAUAUAUAUUUUUGAAAUUGUAGCAUUUUAUACUCUCAAGUGUUAUUAUAAACGAAAAAAAGAAGAAAAAAGAACCAAGAAAACCCCUUGAUUGCGUUGAAUUUUUUUUUCCUGGUGGUAGUCAAGACCAAAAGAGCCUUUUUGCUGUUUUUUUUUUUUUUUUUGAUUAUUAUUGGAAUAUGUCUAAAGAAAGUGCCUUAUUUUCCUCCAUAGUCAUUUUGUCCAGUGUCAAGUACAACCUUGUUCUUUUAUUAAACGCUUAAGGUUUAAUGUGUCCCAAGAAAUUUAACAAAACAAAUUUUAGUUCUGUUACCUGCCUCAAGCUUUUUAAGAAAUUGAAAAAUAGUUGGCGUAUACCAGUCUGACACCCAGUAGAGUAUGUUAAAAGAAGCUUCAAAAGACAAUUUUGAUUUAGAAGUAUCAGGGCUUUGCCACUACAUCAGAAAUAAAAAAGAAAAUAUAAACUGUUUAUAAAAAAAUUAAAGGAAAAUGGAAAUAUUUUUUUUAAUUUUUAAAAUUGAGCAAGAAAAAAAAUACAGAAUUCAGAGAUGUCUGUGGAUUUCCAUUUUAGUUGGACUUUAUGAUGGAAGUGAUUUCUACCCAAAUGCCAUUAAGCCGUGCAAAUUCACCUGUUCUACUAGUAGUGCCAAUUCAGUAUCUGGGGUUCAGUUGCAAUCACUGUGGUUCUGGGUGGCAAAGACCUGAUUAUUACUUCUACUUCUUGCAUUUAGGAGCUUCCCUAGUAAAGGUCAACAGUUAGCCCAAAACUCCUAUAUUUGAAGCACCUUGUGACCUCAUUUACCAUUAUGUAUCAAAAACAAAUUAUAUAUUAAUUUACUAUGCAACAGACAUUCAUCUUGUUCUCUUCAACAGUAGCAUUUUAAUUACCAAACCACCAGCUUUUGUCUUCCUGUUCAGUUUUCCUGUUCAGUUUUUGUUUGUUAUUUUGGGUAAGGAAUUCUCUUCCAUUCAAGGGAGAGGUUUGGUCAAUCUUGCGACACUCAAGCAUUUAGAGAGAUGUAUAAAUAUCACCAGUAUUUGAUCCAGAUUCAUCUCAGCUGUGAUAAACCUGGACAUUUUAAAUGUUUGUUAAAGGAUUUAUUUUUUCCUGGAAUGUUGGUAAAUGAGUCUAUUGAAUAGACAACUGAAAAUAUUUGCAAUGAACAAAGUUUGGGAAACAGUUUAUUACAUAGAAAGUAUCAGUAGCAUGGAUAUUGAAAAAUCUGAUUGCUUUGGUUCUCAGUAUUAUGAUUUUUAUGUUUUUAUUCAUUAUAAAUUUAGGUAGUUUUUUUUUAGUCUUUUAUUUCAUUUGACAGUAUUAUAUAUAUAUAUAUAUUUUUUCUUUUUUAGAAUGGUUAGAUGGGAGUGUCGCUGAUAUGUAUCUGUACAGGUGACCUGUAUUGUCUAUUCUUUAUAAUAGUUUCAUGCUGUGUAUGUAUCAUAACCAACCUAUUGCCUAAAAAGAACCUGUAAGAUAAUGUAUUUACAGCCAUUGUUACAAGUUUAUAAUGUAUUUUUCUAUCUUGUUUUAUAUGUAUGUUAUAUAACAUUCAAAGGAUUUUUUCCUGUUUGAGAAAAGGAUACAAAAAUGCAACACCCACACUUUUUUGAUAACUAAAACUUGCCAAUUGUUUUGCAGUACUUUAUUAUAUUGGGAGUGUUGUCUUCAUUGGCUUUUAGUUAGCUACUGGAUGCCAUUAGACAUAAUGGGUUUUAGUUGGGUUUUUACAUGGCUUGCAUUUUAAUUCUUUGGUUCUUUGCUGUUUCUAUUAACCCCAUAGCAUUAUUUUAAUAAAUGUUAUACCAAGAUACUAA